AUCAAGCAAGAAUGAAGAGACAAAUAACAUUUUUUAGUGCUUUCCUUUUCUUCUUUCUGUUGCAACCAUGCUCGGAAAGCUGUUCUGCUGGGAUAUGGCUGUGGAUUAGUGCUCGGAUUAGUUAUGGGAGGUCUCAUUUUCUUGACUGGAAAACCAAGAUGGAUUGUACUGAUUGUCGAAGAGUCGUUCAAACCGCGAAGGCGACCGAUGAAAUGGAUCCACAUACGAACUUAAGAAGGGCAAUGCAAUAAUUUACAUAACUGGUCUAUCAAUGGAGUGGAAAUAAGGAAAAGAUUUGGUUCAUUUCCAGUCGUACGUGCUGUGUAUUUUAGGCUGGUUCCUAAAAUACAAGUCUCAGAGCCUUGUUUUCAAGUCUUAGGCUGUGUAUUUUAGGCUGGUUCAUUUCUCGUGGUUUUCAAGUCUCAGAGCCUUGUGGUUGCUUGCGGCUGAAUCUGUAGGUUUAUAAUUGUAAGCAAGAAGACAUUUCAAUGGAUAAUUACUAUUAAUUGGGUAAGUGGUUCAGUAUGGCAUUGUGUAUUGAAAGUUGUCCGGUGCAAAUUAUGAGAAGGGUCCAUCAUUUUUUUGAUU